rnacentral:rRNA from 1 species
UACGUAGGGGGCAAGCGUUGUCCGGAUUUAUUGGGCGUAAAGAGCGUGUAGGCGGCCAGAUAGGUCUGUUGUGAAAACUCGAGGCUCAACCUCGAGACGCCGAUGGAAACCAUUUGGCUAGAGUCCGGAAGAGGAGAGUGGAAUUCCUGGUGUAGCGGUGAAAUGCGUAGAUAUUGGGAGGAACACCGGUGGCGAAGGCGGCAUCCUGGACCACGACUGACACUGAAAAGCGAAAGCCAGGGGAGCAAACGGG